rnacentral:misc_RNA from 1 species
GAUGAAGAACGCAGCGAAAUGCGAUAAGUAAUGUGAAUUGCAGAAUUCAGUGAAUCAUCGAAUCUUUGAACGCAUCUUGCGCUCCUUGGUAUUCUGAGGAGCAUGCCUGUUUGAGUGUCAUUGAAUUCUCAACUACACUGACUUUGAAUUGGUGUGGCUUGGAUUUGGGGGGAAAAUUGUUGUGGGCUUUUUGUAUAGUCUGCUCCCCUGAAAUUGAUUAGCGGUACCUUUGUGGAACUGUCUACAGGUGUGAUAAUUAUCUACAUCUUAGACAUCUGCUGGAAUGCUGCUUUCUAAACCUUACUUGUAUUGACAAUCUUGACCUCAAAUCAGGUAGGACUACCCGCUGAACUUAAGCAUAUCAAUAAGCGGAGGA